rnacentral:lncRNA from 1 species
UAAUAUUUAAGAGCUUGGUUGACUUAAAUAUUUUGAUCUUUUCUUUUCUUUCUGUAGUGCUGUGGAUUGAACCCAGGGUCUUGUGCAUACUAGACAAGUACUCUACCUGAGCUACAUCCCUGGGAGAAAUUUUGAUUUUUGACAUAGAUUCAGAGAGAAAAUGGAACAAAUAUUUAUGGGAUGGAUGUUCCCUAGUGAGAGCUUAUUUCAUCCUUCAGAAUGAGAGGAGAGAGAAAAGGUUGGCAUAGGUGAACUGCACAUGGGCCCAGAGGAUCUCUGCAUGACAAGAACUGAGUCACAGAAGUGAGUCACCUGCAAGAUAAAGAGAGAGCUUUUCACCCUGAGGCUGGCGUUCUCAGACUAGUGUUUUUAGCAUUUGUUUUCACAACAUCUCAAGCUCUCUUCAGCGUUGCCAACCUCAGUUGAAUUAAUCUUCAGUCCUAGUGUAGAUGUGGUGGAAUGAAGCCAUAUGGGAGGAUUUUGUUCUAAUGUCAACACAGAAGCAGUUUUCAAGGAUGAACAUUAUGCACAUUUUGCCUCCUAAAGUAUGGAAGUUUUUAAGCACAGAAAGGAAUUUCUGGUAGGAAAGAGAAAGCACCUAGAAUAAGGUAUUGUUUGAUGUCUUUUUGCCUAGAGAUUUUAUCCUGAAUAAUGUG